AUCCCUUGACAUCCUGCGAACUUUCUAGAGAUAGAUUGGUGCCUUCGGGAACGCAGUGACAGGUGCUGCAUGGCUGUCGUCAGCUCGUGUCGUGAGAUGUUGGGUUAAGUCCCGCAACGAGCGCAACCCUUAUCAUUAGUUGCUAACAUUUAGUUGAGAACUCUAAUGAGACUGCCGGUGAUAAACCGGAGGAAGGCGGGGACGACGUCAAGUCAUCAUGGCCCUUAUGGGAUGGGCUACACACGUGCUACAAUGGGGGGUACAAAGAGAAGCCAACUGGCGACAGUGCUCGAAUCUCAUAAAACCUCUCGUAGACCGGAUCGGAGUCUGCCUCUCGACUCCGUGAAGUCGGAAUCGAUAGUAAUCGUGAAUCAGAAUGUCACGGUGAAUACGUUCCCGGGCCU
rnacentral:rRNA from 1 species